GCUGGGAGUGGUGGCGCACGCCUGUAGUCCUAGCUACUUGGGAGGCCGAGGCAGAAGAAUCGCUUGAACCCGGGAGGCAGAGGUUGCAGUGAGCCGAGAUCACGCCACUGCACUCCAGCCUGGGCAACAGAGCGAGACUCCGUCUCAA
rnacentral:SRP_RNA from 2 species